rnacentral:rRNA from 1 species
GGGUUGUGAGGUUAAGCGACUAAGCGUACACGGUGGAUGCCCUGGCAGUCAGAGGCGAUGAAGGGCGUGCUAAUCUGCGAUAAGCGCCGGUAAGGUGAUAUGAACCGUUAUAACCGGCGAUACCCGAAUGGGGAAACCCAGUGUGAUUCGUCACACUAUCAUUAACUGAAUCCAUAGGUUAAUGAGGCGAACCGGGGGAACUGAAACAUCUAAGUACCCCGAGGAAAAGAAAUCAACCGAGAUUCCCCCAGUAGCGGCGAGCGAACGGGGAGGAGCCCAGAGCCUGAAUCAGCAUGUGUGUUAGUGGAAGCGUCUGGAAAGGCGCGCGAUACAGGGUGACAGCCCCGUACACAAAAGCGCAUGUGCUGUGAGCUCGAUGAGUAGGGCGGGACACGUGGUAUCCUGUCUGAAUAUGGGGGGACCAUCCUCCAAGGCUAAAUACUCCUGACUGACCGAUAGUGAACCAGUACCGUGAGGGAAAGGCGAAAAGAACCCCGGCGAGGGGAGUGAAAAAGAACCUGAAACCGUGUACGUACAAGCAGUGGGAGCACCCUUUGGGGUGUGACUGCGUACCUUUUGUAUAAUGGGUCAGCGACUUAUAUUCUGUAGCAAGGUUAACCGUAUAGGGGAGCCGCAGGGAAACCGAGUCUUAACCGGGCGUUAAGUUGCAGGGUAUAGACCCGAAACCCGGUGAUCUAGCCAUGGGCAGGUUGAAGGUUGGGUAACACUAACUGGAGGACCGAACCGACUAAUGUUGAAAAAUUAGCGGAUGACCUGUGGCUGGGGGUGAAAGGCCAAUCAAACCGGGAGAUAGCUGGUUCUCCCCGAAAGCUAUUUAGGUAGCGCCUCGUGAAUUCAUCUCCGGGGGUAGAGCACUGUUUCGGCUAGGGGGCCAUCCCGGCUUACCAACCCGAUGCAAACUGCGAAUACCGGAGAAUGUUAUCACGGGAGACACACGGCGGGUGCUAACGUCCGUCGUGAAGAGGGAAACAACCCAGACCGCCAGCUAAGGUCCCAAAGUCAUGGUUAAGUGGGAAACGAUGUGGGAAGGCCCAGACAGCCAGGAUGUUGGCUUAGAAGCAGCCAUCAUUUAAAGAAAGCGUAAUAGCUCACUGGUCGAGUCGGCCUGCGCGGAAGAUGUAACGGGGCUAAACCAUGCACCGAAGCUGCGGCAGCGACGCUGAUGCGUUGUUGGGUAGGGGAGCGUUCUGUAAGCCUGCGAAGGUGGCCUGUGAGGGUUGCUGGAGGUAUCAGAAGUGCGAAUGCUGACAUAAGUAACGAUAAAGCGGGUGAAAAGCCCGCUCGCCGGAAGACCAAGGGUUCCUGUCCAACGUUAAUCGGGGCAGGGUGAGUCGACCCCUAAGGCGAGGCCGAAAGGCGUAGUCGAUGGGAAACGGGUUAAUAUUCCCGUACUUGGUGUUACUGCGAAGGGGGGACGGAGAAGGCUAUGUUGGCCGGGCGACGGUUGUCCCGGUUUAAGCGUGUAGGUGUGUGUUCCAGGUAAAUCCGGUUCACUUUAACACUGAGGCGUGACGACGAGGCACUACGGUGCUGAAGCAACAAAUGCCCUGCUUCCAGGAAAAGCCUCUAAGCAUCAGGUAACAUCAAAUCGUACCCCAAACCGACACAGGUGGUCAGGUAGAGAAUACCAAGGCGCUUGAGAGAACUCGGGUGAAGGAACUAGGCAAAAUGGUGCCGUAACUUCGGGAGAAGGCACGCUGACACGUAGGUGAAGUGAUUUACUCAUGGAGCUGAAGUCAGUCGAAGAUACCAGCUGGCUGCAACUGUUUAUUAAAAACACAGCACUGUGCAAACACGAAAGUGGACGUAUACGGUGUGACGCCUGCCCGGUGCCGGAAGGUUAAUUGAUGGGGUCAGCGCAAGCGAAGCUCCUGAUCGAAGCCCCGGUAAACGGCGGCCGUAACUAUAACGGUCCUAAGGUAGCGAAAUUCCUUGUCGGGUAAGUUCCGACCUGCACGAAUGGCGUAAUGAUGGCCAGGCUGUCUCCACCCGAGACUCAGUGAAAUUGAACUCGCUGUGAAGAUGCAGUGUACCCGCGGCAAGACGGAAAGACCCCGUGAACCUUUACUAUAGCUUGACACUGAACAUUGAGCCUUGAUGUGUAGGAUAGGUGGGAGGCUUUGAAGCGUGGACGCCAGUCUGCGUGGAGCCGACCUUGAAAUACCACCCUUUAAUGUUUGAUGUUCUAACGUGGACCCGUUACCCGGGUUGCGGACAGUGUCUGGUGGGUAGUUUGACUGGGGCGGUCUCCUCCUAAAGAGUAACGGAGGAGCACGAAGGUUGGCUAAUCCUGGUCGGACAUCAGGAGGUUAGUGCAAUGGCAUAAGCCAGCUUGACUGCGAGCGUGACGGCGCGAGCAGGUGCGAAAGCAGGUCAUAGUGAUCCGGUGGUUCUGAAUGGAAGGGCCAUCGCUCAACGGAUAAAAGGUACUCCGGGGAUAACAGGCUGAUACCGCCCAAGAGUUCAUAUCGACGGCGGUGUUUGGCACCUCGAUGUCGGCUCAUCACAUCCUGGGGCUGAAGUAGGUCCCAAGGGUAUGGCUGUUCGCCAUUUAAAGUGGUACGCGAGCUGGGUUUAGAACGUCGUGAGACAGUUCGGUCCCUAUCUGCCGUGGGCGCUGGAGAACUGAGGGGGGCUGCUCCUAGUACGAGAGGACCGGAGUGGACGCAUCACUGGUGUUCGGGUUGUCAUGCCAAUGGCACUGCCCGGUAGCUAAAUGCGGAAGAGAUAAGUGCUGAAAGCAUCUAAGCACGAAACUUGCCCCGAGAUGAGUUCUCCCUGAGACUUAGAGUCUCCUGAAGGAACGUUGAAGACGACGACGUUGAUAGGCCGGGUGUGUAAGCGCAGCGAUGCGUUGAGCUAACCGGUACUAAUGAACCGUGAGGCUUAACCUUACAACGCCGAAG